rnacentral:misc_RNA from 1 species
UCCGGUUUGUCACCGGCAGUCUCGCAUGAGUCCCCAACUAAAUGCUGGCAACUAGGAACGGGGGUUGCGCUCGUUGCGGGACUUAACCCAACAUCUCACGACACGAGCUGACGACAGCCAUGCAGCACCUGUGCACAGACUCCGAAGAGCGUACAUCAUUUCUGACGUACUUCCUGUGCAUGUCAAGCCUGGGUAAGGUUCUUCGCGUUGCGUCGAAUUAAACCACAUGCUCCGCUGCUUGUGCGGGUCCCCGUCAAUUCCUUUGAGUUUUAGCCUUGCGGCCGUACUCCCCAGGCGGGGCACUUAAUGCGUUAGCUUCGGCACGGAGGGAGUCGACACCCCCCACACCUAGUGCCCAUCGUUUACAGCGUGGACUAC